rnacentral:tRNA from 1 species
GCCGAGGUGGUGGAAUAGGUAGACACGCUAUCUUGAGGGGGUAGUGGGCAACAGCCCGUGAGGGUUCGAAUCCCUCCCUCGGCACCA